UGAGAGAACGGACGGGUUUGGAAUCGGCACGGCAACAUUGGAAUGGUGACCUCAGGGCGACCUCAACAGGCGACUGUACUGAUGAGAGUGGAGGCGCACAGACUAAAGGACAUGGGGUUUCCAAUAGCAACCCUUCAAAAGGCUUCUGCCAGCCAGUUACAAGAGAAAAAUCCAACCGGACGAGUCAGACCUGAAGCCGGUGAAGGUGCGAGCAGGUGCAAAUGGCAGAUUUUUCCCCUCAUGCUUGCUGCAGAUGGAAAGAAGACGUCUCCCCACAGACCACCAAAUAGUUUUCUU